AUUGAACGCUGGCGGCAUGCUUUACACAUGCAAGUCGAACGGUAACAGGCCUUCGGGCGCUGACGAGUGGCGAACGGGUGAGUAAUGCAUCGGAACGUGCCCAGUCGUGGGGGAUAACGCAGCGAAAGCUGUGCUAAUACCGCAUACGAUCUGCGGAUGAAAGCGGGGGACCUUCGGGCCUCGCGCGAUUGGAGCGGCCGAUGUCAGAUUAGGUAGUUGGUGGGGUAAAGGCUCACCAAGCCAACGAUCUGUAGCUGGUCUGAGAGGACGACCAGCCACACUGGGAGUGAGACACGGCCCAGACUCCUACGGGAGGCAGCAGUGGGGAAUUGUGGACAAUGGGCGCAAGCCUGAUCCAGCAAUGCCGCGUGCAGGAAGAAGGCCUUCGGGUUGUAAACUGCUUUUGUACGGAGCGAAAAGGCUCCCUCUAAUACAGGGGGCUCAUGACGGUACCGUAAGAAUAAGCACCGGCUAACUACGUGCCAGCAGCCGCCGUAAUAC
rnacentral:rRNA from 1 species